AUUGAACGCUGGCGGCAUGCUUUACACAUGCCAGUCGAACGGUAACAGGCCUUUGGGUGCUGACGAGUGGCGCACGGGUGAGUAAUGCAUCGGAACGUACCCAGAGGUGGGGGAUAACGCAGCGAAAGCUGUGCUAAUACCUCAUGUGAUCUGAGGUUGAAAGCGGGGGACCGAGCAGCAAUGUUUGGCCUCGCGCCUUUGGAGCGGCCGAUGUCGGAUUAGCUAGUUGGUGGGGUAAAGGCCUACCAAGGCGACGAUCCGUAGCUGGUCUGAGAGGACGACCAGCCACACUGGGACUGAGACACGGCCCAGACUCCUACGGGAGGCAGCAGUGGGGAAUUUUGGACAAUGGGCGCAAGCCUGAUCCAGCAAUGCCGCGUGCGGGAAGAAGGCCUUCGGGUUGUAAACCGCUUUUGGCAGGAACGAAACGGUGUCCGCUAAUACCGGGCGGUAAUGACGGUACCUGCAGAAUAAGCACCGGCUAACUACGUG
rnacentral:rRNA from 1 species